rnacentral:rRNA from 1 species
GACGAACGCUGGCGGCGUGCCUAAUACAUGCAAGUCGAGCGAACAGACGAGGAGCUUGCUCCUCUGACGUUAGCGGCGGACGGGUGAGUAACACGUGGAUAACCUACCUAUAAGACUGGGAUAACUUCGGGAAACCGGAGCUAAUACCGGAUAAUAUAUUGAACCGCAUGGUUCAAUAGUGAAAGACGGUUUUGCUGUCACUUAUAGAUGGAUUCGCGCCGCAUUAGCUAGUUGGUAAGGUAACGGCUUACCAAGGCAACGAUGCGUAGCCGACCUGAGAGGGUGAUCGGCCACACUGGAACUGAGACACGGUCCAGACUCCUACGGGAGGCAGCAGUAGGGAAUCUUCCGCAAUGGGCGAAAGCUUGACGGAGCAACGCCGCGUGAGUGAUGAAGGUCUUCGGAUCGUAAAACUCUGUUAUUAGGGAAGAACAAAUGUGUAAGUAACUAUGCACGUCUUGACGGUACCUAAUCAGAAAGCCACGGCUAACUACGUG